UACGUAGGGGGCAAGCGUUGUUCGGAAUUACUGGGCGUAAAGGGCGCGUAGGCGGCACGGCAAGUCGGGAGUGAAAGGCCUGGGCUCAACCGAGGAACUGCUUUCGAGACUGCCGAGCUAGAGUGCGGAAGGGGCAACUGGAAUUCCCAGUGUAGCGGUGAAAUGCGUAGAUAGUUGGGAAGAACACCUGAGGCGAAGGCGGGUUGCUGGGCCGACACUGACGCUGAGGCGCGAAAGCCAGGGGAGCAAACGGG
rnacentral:rRNA from 1 species